rnacentral:rRNA from 1 species
CGGAGGAUCCAAGCGUUAUCCGGAAUCAUUGGGUUUAAAGGGUCCGUAGGCGGUUUGGUAAGUCAGUGGUGAAAGCCCAUCGCUCAACGGUGGAACGGCCAUUGAUACUGCCAGACUUGAAUUAUUAGGAAGUAACUAGAAUAUGUAGUGUAGCGGUGAAAUGCUUAGAGAUUACAUGGAAUACCAAUUGCGAAGGCAGGUUACUACUAAUGGAUUGACGCUGAUGGACGAAAGCGUGGGUAGCGAACAGGAUUAGAUACCCUGGUAGUCCACGCCGUAAACGAUGGAUACUAGCUGUUGGGGGCAACGUUCAGUGGCUAAGCGAAAGUGAUAAGUAUCCCACCUGGGGAGUACGUUCGCAAGAAUG